rnacentral:RNase_P_RNA from 1 species
UUGGCAUAGCAGGUGAUUGCUACAAUCGUAGAGGAAAGUCCGGGCUGCUAUAAGAGAGGAUUCCAUCUAACGGAUGGCUGGAGAGAUCCAAGGGCUAGUGCAACAGAGAGAAGACCGCCCACUUUCUAGUGGGUAAGGGUGAAAGGGUGAGGUAAGAGCUCACCAGCUCCUUGAGCAAUCAAGGAGGCUAGGUAAACCCAAUCCGCAGCAAGAGAUGCGUGGUAAUACUCUUAUAUUUUUGCAUCUUGCUUGAGGGCUAUUGUAAAAUAGCCCCUAGAUAAAUAAUCACCAAAACAGAACCCGGCUUACAGCUAUGCCGCUUAA